GCAGGGUUUAGGCCACCAUGUGUUUCUGUUUCUUCUUAACAGAUGUGCUUGAUAGCAGCCUCAGUGUCUCCAGUUUCAAAAGUGGGAUUUCCCCUCUGUUUGUAGCUGAAUUUACAGACAUGAACAAGAACAGAGAAUAUGCUUACAUCCCUAUAUUGCUGUCAGGAACCUGAAGAAAUGACAAUGGGUGAACCCUGGUUCAGAAUACAGUACUUCUGUACACACCCAGAAACUGAUGGAGCAGUAUGGGGAGAUUUAAUCUGAAUGGGCUGGAAGCCAUAAACCUGUGAAAGAGUGUAAUGGCAGAGGCAUUCAAUGCAGGACGUUCCCAGUCUCAAGAAGUUUGGAAGUUAUGACGUUUUCGCAGAAAUUUGGAACAUGAACUUAGAGGCAGCAAGGACAGAAGGAAAUGGAGAAUACAUGAGCCAGUUGAAUACAAUUUCGGUUGAAAAUCUUCCCCUCUCCUUUCUGCAGGUAUUUGGAGCCUGGAUUUGAUGCUUGAAUCAUACCCUGUGGUUCACAGGCAUGGAUUUGUGUGAUAGGGCCAGCAGACACAGCACUAGCGCAGGCCUAUCACCACUGAAGACUAUCACCAACUUUAGGGAUGUACUUGUGGGCUCUUGGGUUGUAUGCCUUUGUGCAUUUGUUUUCAAGCUGCUCUGAGUGCCUGGAGCAGAAAAAAGGUAGCCUAAAAUAUCUAAAUGAGUGUACCCAUAUGUUCCAUUACAUUCUAGGUAGGGGAGCAUGUGAAUGUCCAUGCUUCAUUAAAAUAAAAAUGGUGCCUUUUGAGAUAAAAUUAUUGAAAUACAUUUUUGUGGAAAAAAAGAAACAAC